GCCCUUGUAGCUCAGUUGGCAGAGCACGCCCUUGGUAAGGGCGAGGUCGGCGGUUCAAAUCCGCUCGGGGGCUCCA
rnacentral:tRNA from 2 species